GAAGGCCCUCUGGGUUGUAAACUUCUUUAGUAUGGGAAGAAGGCUUAUGAUUCAUCAUAAUUUGACGGUACCAUAAGAAUAAGCACCGGCUAACUCCGUGCCAGCAGCCGCGGUAAUACGGAGGGUGCAAGCGUUAUCCGGAAUCACUGGGUUUAAAGGGUGCGUAGGCGGUCAUACAAGUCAGAAGUGAAAUACCACUGCUUAACAGUAGGAAGUGCUUUUGAUACUGUAUGACUUGAACUAGGAUGAGGUAGGCGGAAUGUGGCAUGUA
rnacentral:rRNA from 1 species